rnacentral:rRNA from 1 species
GACGAACGCUGGCGGCGUGCUUAACACAUGCAAGUCGAACGGAAAGGCCCUGCUUGCAGGGUACUCGAGUGGCGAACGGGUGAGUAACACGUGGGUGAUCUGCCCUGCACUUCGGGAUAAGCCUGGGAAACUGGGUCUAAUACCGGAUAGGAGCCAUUUUUAGUGUGAUGGUUGGAAAGUUUUUUCGGUGUAGGAUGAGCUCGCGGCCUAUCAGCUUGUUGGUGGGGUAAUGGCCUACCAAGGCGGCGACGGGUAGCCGGCCUGAGAGGGUGGACGGCCACAUUGGGACUGAGAUACGGCCCAGACUCCUACGGGAGGCAGCAGUGGGGAAUAUUGCACAAUGGGCGCAAGCCUGAUGCAGCGACGCCGCAUGGGGGAUGACGGCCUUCGGGUUGUAAACUCCUUUCGCUAGGGACGAAGCUUUUGUGACGGUACCUAGAUAAGAAGCACCGGCUAACUACGUG